rnacentral:rRNA from 1 species
GACGAACGCUGGCGGCGUGCUUAACACAUGCAAGUCGAACGGAAAGGCCUGCUUUCCCUUGUGGAUUGCGGGUACUCGAGUGGCGAACGGGUGAGUAACACGUGAGUGAUCUGCCCCCAUCUUGGGUAUAAGCCUGGGAAACUGGGUCUAAUUCCCGAUAGGACUGCAGGGUGGUGCCUGUGGUGGAAAACGAUUUUCUAGUGGUUGGGGAUGAGCUCGCGGCCUAUCAGCUUGUUGGUGGGGUAAUGGCCUACCAAGGCGGCGACGGGUAGCCGGCCUGAGAGGGUGGACGGCCACAUUGGGACUGAGAUACGGCCCAGACUCCUACGGGAGGCAGCAGUGGGGAAUAUUGCACAAUGGGCGGAAGCCUGAUGCAGCGACGCCGCGUGGGGGAUGACGGCCUUCGGGUUGUAAACUCCUUUCGACCGCGAGGAAGCCACCUGGUUGGAAGGGUGGUGACGGUAGUGGUAGAAGAAGCACCGGCUAACUACGUG